GACAGAGGGUGCAAACGUUGUUCGGAAUUACUGGGCGUAAAGCGUGCGCAGGCGGUUCUAUAAGACAGAUGGGAAAUCCCCGGGCUCAACCUGGGAACUGCAUUUGUGACUGUAGAGCUGGAGUGCGGCAGAGGGGGAUGGAAUUCCGCGUGUAGCAGUGAAAUGCGUAGAGAUGCGGAGGAACACCGAUGGCGAAGGCAGCCCCCUGGGCCAACACUGACGCUCAGGCACGAAAGCGUGGGGAGCAAACAGG
rnacentral:rRNA from 1 species